GAUGAAGAACGCAGCGAAAUGCGAUAAGUAAUGUGAAUUGCAGAAUUCAGUGAAUCAUCGAGUCUUUGAACGCACAUUGCGCCCCCUGGUAUUCCGGGGGGCAUGCCUGUCCGAGCGUCAUUUCUGCCCUCCAGCCCGGCUGGGUGUUGGGCGCUGUCCCCCCGGGGACACGCCCCAAAGGCAGUGGCGGCGCCGCGUCGGGUCCUCGAGCGUAUGGGGCUUUGUCACCCGCUCGGGACGGACUCGUCGGCGCUGGUCUUCCUCCAGGCGACCCUUCGGGGCUCGUCUUCCUUCGGUUGACCUCGGAUCAGGUAGGGUUACCCGCUGAACUUAAGCAUAUCAAUAAGCGGAGGA
rnacentral:misc_RNA from 1 species